rnacentral:rRNA from 1 species
GGUGACUCAGUGCUGAAGUUAACGCAUUAAGUUCUCCGCCUGGGGAGUACGAUCGCAAGAUUGAAACUCAAAGGAAUUGACGGGUCUCCGCACAAGCGGUGGAGCAUGUUGUUUAAUUCGAAGAUACGCGAAGAACCUUACCUGGGCUUGACAUCCCUCGGACCGUCCUAGAGAUAGGACUUUCCUUCGGGACUGAGGUGACAGGUGGUGCAUGGUUGUCGUCAGCUCGUGUCGUGAGAUGUUGGGUUAAGUCCCGCAACGAGCGCAACCCCUAUCGAUAGUUGCUAACAUUUAGUUGAGGACUCUAUCGAGACUGCCAGUGAUAAACUGGAGGAAGGUGGGGAUGACGUCAAAUCAUCAUGCCCCUUAUGUCCAGGGCUACAAACGUGCUACAAUGGCCGGUACAGCGAGAUGCUAAGCAGUGAUGUGGCGCAAACCUUUCAAAGCCGGUCUCAGUUCGGAUUGAAGUCUGCAACUCGACUUCAUGAAGUUGGAAUCGCUAGUAAUCGUGGGUCAGCAUACCACGGUGAAUACGUUCUCGGAGAUUGUACACACCGCCCGUCAUACCACGAGAGUCUGUAACACCCGAAGUAGGUGGCCUAACUGUAAAGAGGGAGCCUCCUAAGGUGGGAUGGAUGAUUGGGGUAAAGUCGUAACAAGGUAACCAAGGGCGAA